AACAAAUCUAGAUCAUUGAUCAAAUUAAAUCUAACCGUCCAAAAAGAACAUAGUAAUGACAUUUCCGUAAUUUCAUGAAUCUAUACACCCCAUUCUCUCUUUCCUAUUCUUCUUAGCUUUCACGUUCAACAUCUCUUUCUCUCUCUAAACUUUUUGUUGUUCUCUCUCUCCUCAUAUCAGUGGUUUUUGGGGAAAUUCUAUACUAAUUUAAAGUUUUCGUGAUUUUUAUGCUUAAACCAUAGAAAUCGCCAAUUGCAAAUGGAUUCAGUCGAACAUGUGAACGAUGAACCAAAAUCGAAAGCUGUUAUUUAUGAACGAAGAAGGAGGCAUGGCAAUGACAGUUUUCACUUUUUCACCAAUUUUAUUUGGAAAUUUUUCGAAGUGGCUUUGAUAUACAAUUGUACGAUAUUGAAAAUCAAUUUUGAUUGAGGUUAAGCUAAAUAAUGCUGGUUUGUAUGUCUUGACUUAAUGACUUGCUUCUUUUGGCAUCAGAAAUUGCUUUUGUUUGCUGGUUUUUAUGUUAGGGGUAUUAAUUUUAGAGUGUUAUUUUGUUAUAUGUGAUGAAUCAACUCGAUAAAUAUAUUGAUGAGAUUGCUAAUUAUGAGAGAUU